rnacentral:rRNA from 1 species
AUUGAACGCUGGCGGCAGGCCUAACACAUGCAAGUCGAACGCGUGGCGGACGGGUGAGUAAUGUCUGGGAAACUGCCUGAUGGAGGGGGAUAACUACUGGAAACGGUAGCUAAUACCGCAUACCAUCAGAUGUGCCCAGAUGGGAUUAGCUAGUUGGUGGGGUAACGGCUCACCAAGGCGACGAUCCCUAGCUGGGCUGAGAGGAUGACAAGACACACUUGAACUGAGACACGGUCCGGACUUCUACGAGAGGCAGCAGUGUGGAAUAUUGCACGAUGGGCGCAAGCCUGAUGCACCCAUGCCGCGUGUGUGAAGAAGGCCUGCGGUUUGUAAAGUACUUUCAGUGGGGAGGCGUUACCCGCAGAAGAAGCACCGGCUAACUCCGUGCCAGCAGCCGCGGUAAUA